AGAGGUGUAGCUUAGUGGUAGAGCACUUGCCUAUCACAUAUGUGGCCCUGGGUUUGAUCCCCAGCACCACAA
rnacentral:tRNA from 2 species